rnacentral:lncRNA from 1 species
AUAGUAGCUAGGGCAAGUUUCUAACUUGUGAUCUGACAGCAUUUGAGAAGCACCUGUGAGCUUCUUGCCAGAGCAUUUAAUGACCAAUAUUACCUAUGCAGCCAAUUUUAUAUUUGAACGUUCAGAAAAGUUGCAUUUUGAUGUAUAGGUGAAGCAAAAUAUACUAUUGUAGUGUGUUCAAUCUGACCUCAUUUCCUACUUUUACUUUAGAUUAGCUGUAAAUGGCCCAUGAAACAGGAUACUUUUGUUGCUUAAAAAGGAC